rnacentral:rRNA from 1 species
UACAGAGGUCUCAAGCGUUGUUCGGAUUCAUUGGGCGUAAAGGGCUCGUAGGCGGUUCGUCACGUCGGGAGUGAAAACUCGGGGCUUAACCCCGAGCCUGCUUCCGAUACGGGCAGACUAGAGGUAGGCAGGGGAGAGCGGAACUCCUGGUGUAGCGGUGGAAUGCGCAGAUAUCAGGAGGAACACCGGUGGCGAAGGCGGGUCUCUGGGCCGAUACUGACGCUGAGGAGCGAAAGCAUGGGUAGCGAACAGG